rnacentral:lncRNA from 1 species
CUGCGGGACUGAAACGUGCAGGAAGACAGUGGAAACAAAGCUUUAACUGCGAUACUGAUGAGAACUUAGCAAAGUACAUGAAGCACCGCGUGUCCUUGACACAAAACAUAGGCAGGCUGAGGCUGUUCGCCGUGCACAGCCUCCUGACAGAGUUACCACAACACUGUGCCAGUUAGCGACUCCGAGCGAAACAUGCACAUAUCUCCACAACCGGACACGCAGUCAGCUGUCAGAGCUGCCCAGACACAGGAAGAGGCCACACCAACUAAUGUAGCAAACGUGAAAUGCGGACACAAGCUGGUGAAGAGUGACUUACCCGAGCAGUGUAUCCACAUCUGUUUGAUGAGACGGGAGAUUGUAAACGUCACACUUUAGGUUGCAUUCACGUACAAGAAGGUUUCACCGAAGAUGAGCAGAUAACUCUCCGCCGACCGCGGAGCGCAGCCAAUGGAAGCGAGCUGCCGGCGCCGCUUCGACCAAUCAGAUCGCCAGCGCGGAGUUGGUGGAAGCAUCCCGCCAGCUGCCUAGCAACGCUCAGUGUCCAUGGCAACAGAGCCAACAAACGCCCCCACUCCUCUUCAGCCUGCACCCCUCGAUUAGGACUAAAGUGUGCAAUCAGGAGAGCAGAGUCACACAGCGGAUUCACGACAACCGGGAGGAACCAGGUUGAAACCAGGUCUGCUGCAGGGAGACGAGGGGUCACACAGGAACCAGGUCUGAGGAUGGGAGACGAGGGGUCACACAGGAACCAGGUCUGAGGAUGGGAGACGAGGGGUCACACAGGAACCAGGUCUGAGGAUGGGAGACGAGGGGUCACACAGGAACCAGGUCUGAGGAUGGGAGACGAGGGGUCACACAGGAACCAGGUCUGCUGCAGAGGAGACGAGGGGUCACACAGGAACCAGGUCUGAGGAUGGGAGACGAGGGGUCACACAGGAACCAGGUCUGAGGAUGGGAGACGAGGGGUCACACAGGAACCAGGUCUGAGGAUGGGAGACGAGGGGUCACACAGGAACCAGGUCUGCUGCAGGGAGACGAGGGGUCACACAGGAACCAGGUCUGCUGCAGGGAGACGAGGGGUCACACAGGAACCAGGUCUGCUGCAGGGAGACGAGGGGUCACACAGGAAGCAGCUCACAGGUUGAGAGGAACCAUGUAGAGCUGUGGGAUGGAUUUUCAAAGACUGAAGUGUUUAUGUUGAGAGAGACUUAGAGAUAAAGGUGGUUGAGUACGUAAUACAAAGUAUGCACCUAAUACAGUCCAUAGAGAUGCUGUGUGUGAUGCUGUGUGUGAUGUGUUGUAGCUCUCUCCUGCGGAUAAAAAGCAAACCUACGACAACGAAUGACUGAAUAAAUAUUGUUUUCAAAAUGCACUGUUGAA